GCCGGGCUGGCGCAAUCCGGUAGCGCGCAAGACUUCUACUCCCGUCAGGAUGAUAUCUUGAGGCUGUGGGUUCGAGUCCCACGUUCGGUG